rnacentral:pre_miRNA from 1 species
UUCAUACUCCCUCCGUUCGGAAAUACUUGUCGCAGAAAUGGAUGUAUCUAGAUGUAUUUUAGUUCUAGAUACAUCCAUUUCCGAGACAAGUAAUUCCGAACGGCGGGAGUAUAUU